rnacentral:rRNA from 1 species
UACAGAGGUCUCAAGCGUUGUUCGGAUUCAUUGGGCGUAAAGGGUGUGUAGGUGGCGCCGUAAGUCGGGUGUGAAAUUUCGGAGCUUAACUCCGAAACUGCAUUCGAUACUGCGGUGCUUGAGGACUGGAGAGGAGACUGGAAUUCAUGGUGUAGCAGUGAAAUGCGUAGAGAUCAUGAGGAAGACCAGUGGCGAAGGCGGGUCUCUGGACAGUUCCUGACACUGAGGAGCGAAAGUGUGGGGAGCGAACAGG